rnacentral:rRNA from 1 species
AAAUGAAUAGACGGGGGCCCGCACAAGCAGUGGAGUAUGUUGUUUAAUUCGACGCAACGCGAAGAACCUUACCAGGGCUUGACAUCCUCUGAUCGCUGUAGAGAUACAGUUUCCCUUCGGGGCAGAGAGACAGGUGGUGCAUGGUUGUCGUCAGCUCGUGUCGUGAGAUGUUAGGUUAAGUCCUGCAACGAGCGCAACCCCUAUUGUCUGUUGCCAUCAGUUAAAGCUGGGCACUCAGGCGAGACCGCCGUUGACAAAACGGAGGAAGGUGGGGACGACGUCAAAUCAUCAUGCCCCUUAUGUCCUGGGCUACAAACGUACUACAAUGGUCGCGACAGAGGGCAGCUACACCGCGAGGUGAUGCGAAUCCCUAAACGCGAUCUCAGUUCGGAUUGCAGGCUGCAACUCGCCUGCAUGAAGUCGGAAUUGCUAGUAAUGGCAGGUCAGCAUACUGCCGUGAAUACGUUCCCGGGCCUUGUACACACCGCCCGU